rnacentral:rRNA from 1 species
UACGUAGGCAGCAAGCGUUGUUCGGAGUUACUGGGCGUAAAGGGUGUGUAGGCGGUUCUUUAAGUUUGGUGUGAAAUCUCCCGGCUCAACUGGGAGGGUGCGCCGAAUACUGAGGGACUAGAGUACGGGAGAGGAAAGUGGAAUUCCUGGUGUAGCGGUGAAAUGCGUAGAUAUCAGGAGGAACACCAGUGGCGAAGGCGGCUUUCUGGACGAUAACUGACGCUGAGACGCGAAAGCGUGGGGAGCAAACAGG